rnacentral:lncRNA from 1 species
CUCUACUUUUUUUUGUUGUUGUUGUUGUUUUCCUUUUCUUUGGCGAUCACAUUUUAUUGUGUCCUUAAGAUGUGAUAUGGUGCUAUUUUUUGUAUUAUUAACACAUGUUUAAGAUCUAGUAUUAAGAUAAUCAUGUGCUCGCUUAUAAUUGAAAUAAGAGCUCCAAAGUCCAAACUACAUCAUAGAGGACACCCUAUCAUGCCCCGAAUCUAAUCCAGGAUCGGGCACGUGAUG